ACAGUAACUAACAGCUCUUGCUUGCGUGGUUAAAAUAGCUAUAAAGAUAUAUAGUAAGCAUAAAAAAUAACUAAUUUUAAUUGAAUUUUGGUAUUUAAAAUAAUUUUUUUUCUCAGAGUAUUUUUUAUUUAAUGGAAAGAUUUUAUGAAAAAAUAGCGCACAUAGCAACGCUAUAACACAAUUGCCAAGACAAUUGCUGAAUAAGAGAAGCAAUUCAAUUUUUUUUUAUCAGAAAUACAAUUGUUCUGGAGAUGUACCUACAAUUUACCUAACCUCUAUAAAAUGUAUUACUUAACAUUUGAGGAAAAUAACAUCAUUAUUGACAUGGAUUUGAAACUCAACUUCGAGUUUUGUUUGUGAAAAAGAAGCACGCUUACGAAAUCAGUUCUUUAUGACUGAUCUACAUUUACUCCAUGGUGACCGUCUUAACAAAGAUACCCUCAGUGGUUUGCCACUGUUUUCGAAAAAUAAUACUACAAUUAAAAAUCCGAUAUAUGAUUUUGGAUUUGGAUCAGGAUUUUGAGCACAGAGAGCAAAAAUGCGUCACUGAUUAUCACUACCAAUGUCUGAUCUGCCGGGGCUUCUCUUUCUUGCAGCCAUAAUCGGAACCUCUCUGUCCCCUUUCCCUUCCUCGCCCACCCUCCUAAGUCUAGUGAGUUAUUAAUGGCUAUAAAACGCUAUCGAUUAUCGUUGCAACCAUCCGAACUUCUUCUGUUAAUACCAAUAAAAUGUAUAAAUUAUCUCCUACUUAAUUUUCCUUAAUUGCAACGUUGAUAUUUUAUGUUGUCGCCUUAUUUUAUCUCUAUUUUAUGCUAUAACUUACGUUUAAAUUACAGAUUGACUCGAAACAAUUUAAUCUUUGAUAACGAUUACAUGCGCAAAUACAUGACACUAAUACUCAGAGCACAAGCCUUUUUUUUUAACAAUAUAGAUUGCGUAAAAAAUAAACAAUACAUUGCUGCAUUAAAAAAUUUAUAAACAUGUUAAUUUAUAAAUACAGUACAUCAAGAGCCGAGGAAUAAUUAGCGCAAUAUUUUUAAACGCUUGUAAUAGCUGGUUAUCCAAAGCUCGCGUUGUUUGAUGCAUCAUUGAUACAGAGGGAUGGAUCAGUAAUACGGAUGCGAUCGAUCAUGACUAAAAAGACCAUUCGUUUCGCGCGCCAAUAAAACAGGCCACUGGAGAUAAGUACGUGAUCUAGUUUUAUUUUUUUCCAUAGUAUACCUUAUCGGCGAAAAACCUAAAAAAUAAUUUUUAUUUAAAAAAAAUUCCGAAACCAAAUUGAUUUACUAUUUUAAGGUCAAUUGAGGUGCAAUAAUGCAUAGGCAGGAUGUUUAUUACCGGUAAAAGUCUAAAAUUUUUAGAAUUUUUUUACUGUUGAAAAUUAUGGAUUUUCAAGGAAUUUUAUUGGUAUUCAGGAAAUUUUUGGAAGUUUAUACUUUUGAAUUUAAAUUCUAUCUUUUCCAUCUGGCAAAAUUAUUUCUUUAUUUUUUUUUUAAAUACAAAAUAAUCGAAUUUUUAAGUACAAAUAGUAUGUUUAUUCUCGUUUAAUUUUGGAGUUUUAAAAAAUCAAUAAUAAUAGAAGACAUACGGCUGUGGUCAUAUGUUAAGCUUUUAAUUUUAUAUAAAAUAUGCAAAAAUAAAUUAAUGGAAAUGGUCAAUAUUUUAAUAAAUGGAUCCUUAUAUUUUAUUACAAUACAUCAUCAUAAACGUUAGUGCAAACGCAAUUGAAAUCUGUUUAUCCGAAAUUUAACAUUACGGAAUUUUUCCAAGAGUGCCUAGUAUAUAUAUAUGACCAUAUAAGAAUAUAAGA